AGUAAAUGUCAUGUUAAGGCUCGCAGCGACUCGUUCGUGCCCCCUGUUGAACACACGUGACCUUUCGGAGCUCUGCCGAGUCUUACGAGAGACAAUAUGCAAAUAUGCAAAUACGUGGCUCUCUCUCUCUUUCCGUUCCCCGUUCCUGUCUCUUUCUCGGAUUGGUUCUCGAGAAAAAAAAUUUGAGGUAAUUACGGCCGGGGAGGAACGCUCGCCGCCGAGAAGCAGAGUGAGAAGCCGUGCGUCGGCAUGGCGACCGCCACGGUGUUGAUUCUUCUUCUUCUUCUUUUUAAAGCGAGGGAGGAAUCCCUUUCGAAAGAACACCUGUGUUUACCGGAGAGCACCAAACCUAGAAGAACAGAGUGCAAGACAGCGUUAAGUUCCACGAGUUUGACUCUCAUUAGGCCCAUUUUUCAACCAAAUAAAAAACUCCUUUCUGGU